GGAUGCGAUUGUACUAGCACUAACGCAUCGAAUCUCAUCAGAACUUCGAAGUUAAGAGCGCUUGGGCGAGAGUAGUACUAGGAUGGGUGACCCCCUGGGAAGUCCUCAUGUUGGAUCCC